CUACUGGGUGGUUGUCAGUGUUAAGUAGCGAUCCUUGCAUGCGCUGAGCUAACAUCAUGUGAUGGGACUGUGUUUCAUCUGGGCUUCCACGGCUACGGAGCUAAAAGCUUGAGAAAUUCACUAACAAAGAGCACCCUGCGGCUGCAACAGCUGAAUCCAAUUCCGCCUCCACCCUUUGAGGACAACACCCCGGUGACCCUCAGGUCAAGAGGUUUAUAACCUGAGGAAGCCUGGCGGUCACGUGACCUGCAGGUGACGACACACUGGAUUUCUUAUGACGCAGCAGCACUCUGUAGCUAUAUGUCUCUGAGCGGAGGCUGUCGGUGGUUCGGGAUUGGAAAGGAGCUGUCACGCUUGCAAUGACUAACCCAUGACGACUGUUACAUCACAAAGGUUCUUGGGGACCUGUUGUACAAGAAUAUUGUGGAGCUUGCUAAUAACAAUUUGCAAAAAGAUUUUUUUAAUAGAGAUUUUAAAAAAUCUGCCUUUGUAGAAAUGAAAGGGAUAUUGAUAUGAUUUUGACAUAUAAUCAGUAAAAUUACGUAUUGAAAGAACUAAUCAGUCCCUCCAGGAAUUCGUGAUGUCGCGAUCACAACAAUUCACGCAAAUUCAACCAAUCACCGUGA